rnacentral:rRNA from 1 species
UGCCAGCAUCCGCGGUACUCCUGGUUGUGCAAGCGUUACUCGGAAUCACUGGGCGUAAAGAGCAUGUAGGCUGGUUUGUAAGUUGGAAGUGAAAUCCUAUGGCUUAACCAUAGAACUGCUUCCAAAACUGCAGACCUAGAGUAUGGGAGAGGUAGAUGGAAUUUCUGGUGUAGGGGUAAAAUCCGUAGAGAUCAGAAGGAAUACCGAUUGCGAAGGCGAUCUACUGGAACAUAACUGACGCUGAGAUGCGAAAGCGUGGGGAGCAAACAGGAUUAGAUA